rnacentral:rRNA from 1 species
CAGCAGCCGCGGGAAUACGUAGGGUGCAAGCGUUAUCCGGAAUCACUGGGCGUAAAGCGUACGUAGGCGGAAGCUUAAGUGUGAUGUUAAAUCGUGGGGCUCAACCCCGUCGAUGCAUCGCAUACUGGGUUUCUAGAGGAUGGCAGAGGCAAGUGGAACUCGUAGUGUAGCGGUAAAAUGCGUAGAUAUUACGAAGAACACCAAUGGCGAAGGCAGCUUGCUGGGCCAUUUCUGACGCUGAGGUACGAAAGCGUGGGGAGCGAACAGGAUUAGAUACCCGCGUAGUCCCUGUCUCUUAUAC